AUGACUGUCGUCAUACCAACCGCAAUCGAGAUCGAGCACCAUUUGCAAAUGGCUCUGCUCCCGUGCUCCCUGAAAUGCGCUACUACUCAGCGUCGCCUCCUGCGUGUCUUCAUCGUCUCUCUCCUUCUCCACCAUGCCGACUCCCUCAGCUUCCGGUACGACUCCAUCAACACAACCAACAAGGUCGAUUUCGGCGCGCUCGGGGACGACUGCAACAUCAGCGAUCACAGGGCCGACCUCACCAGCAUAAGCGCCAAUAACUACACCAACAACCUCGGCCGCCUGGUGUACCCCAAGCUGGUGCAACUCUGGGACGCUGCCACCGGCGAGACGGCCAGCUUCACCACCACCUUCUCCUUCGGCAUGGACGCCGUGCCGGGGCAGCCGGUUGGCCAUGGCAUGGCCUUCUUCCUCACCUCUCAAGUCGACGUCCCGUCUGGCCUACCCGCGGGGUCCUAUGGCGGCUACCUCGGCCUCUUCAGUCCUGGCGCCACCGGCGGUGACCAUGUUGUCGCCGUGGAGUUCGACACGUUCAGGGACGAGUGGGACCCCAGCGACCAUCACAUCGGAGUCGAUCUUAACAACAUCAGCUCGUUCGGCAGCUACACCACCUUGCCGAACGACAGCUUCGUCGGCCGGGUCAUGUCCGCGCGGAUCGACUACAACAGCGGCACGGGCCAGCUCGAUGUCAUGCUGCACAACGGCAGCAGCGACGGCGCGACCCAUGAUCUCAGCGUCAAUGUUGACCUGCGAAGCUUCCUGCCGGAGCAGGUAAGCGUCGGCUUUUCAGCGGCGACGAACUCAGAGCGGGUCGCGCUGCACUACGUGCUGUCCUGGUCUUUCAACUCUUCGCUGCCACUGGCUGCAAAAUCAACUCAAAAAUCACAACCGCGGCGCACUGCUGUGCCGCUCGUGGCCGGUGUCACCGUGGCAACGGUGCUGGCUCUCCUUCUAAGCACGGCGGUAGGGGUGCUGCUGUGGCGGUCGAGACGCCAGGAGCGCUCUGCCGACGACGACGACGACGGCGACGACGAGGACCCGUGGCCGAUCGACGAGGACCUCGAGUCCGGGUCGGGACCACGGCCGUUCCAGCUGAGCAAGCUGACGGCGGCGACAAGAAACUUCUCUGAGGAGACAAAGCUCGGGCAGGGCGCGUCCGGGUCGGUGUACCGCGGUCGCGUCGAUGAGCUCGACGUGGCUAUCAAGGUGUUCUCCAGGGGUGGCUCGGCGCAGGGGAAGCGAGAGUACACGGCGGAGGUCACCGUCAUCAGCCGGCUGCGGCACCGCAACCUGGUGCAUCUCAUAGGCUGGUGCGAUGGCCGCAAGAAGCUCCUCCUCGUCUACGAGCUCGUGCCCAACGGAAGCCUCGACCGGCACCUCUAUAGCGCAACGGCGGUGCUGCCAUGGCCGGCGAGGUACAAGAUCAUUCUCGGGCUCGGCGCCGCCGUGCUGUACCUGCACGAGGAGUGGGGCCAGUGCGUCGUCCACGGCGACAUAAAGCCGAGCAACAUUAUGCUCGACCAGUCCUUUGGCGCCAAGCUAGGCGACUUCGGCCUCGCACGGCUCAUCGACCACGGCGUCGGCCUGCAGACCAUGACCGCCGUGGCCGGCACGCCUGGGUACCUCGACCCGGAGUGCAUCGCCACGGGGAAGGCGAGCACCGAGUCCGACGUGUACAGCUUCGGCGUCGUGCUCCUGGAGGUCGCCACCGGCAGGCGGCCCAUGGCGCCGCCCCCGCCGGGCGACACGAGGAUCUUCCGGCUGGUGGAGUGGGCAUGGGGAAUGUAUGGUCGAGACGCGGUGCUGGACGCGGCCGACGAGGCGCUGUGCGGACAGUUUGACGCUCGGGAGGUGGAGCUCGUGCUGGUGAUCGGGUUGUGGUGCGCACACCCCGACGCCAGGGCGCGGCCGAGCAUCAGGGAAGCAGUCGAGGUGCUGCGCUCGGGGAUGGCCGCCAGGGUGCCGGCGCUUCCCCCUCGGAUGCCCGUGGCCAUGUACGUGCAGCCUUACGAUCCGGCUGACAAGCAUGUCGCGGACGACGCGUCGAAGGCAAACCACGGGAUGAGCUCUCACGAUUACGGCCGCCAGCCUCCGGCCGCCGACGACUACCAGACGCUGUCUACCACCUCGAGCAUUCCUCCGGUUGGGUCAAAACAGUCGGUUCGUUUGCUGAGCGGAAGGUAG
rnacentral:rRNA from 1 species